GAUAGAGGAACGAAGGCUAAGGGCAUCACGUCCUGUGAUAACGCCUUCGUGAUCAACAUCGGUGC
rnacentral:sRNA from 1 species